rnacentral:lncRNA from 1 species
AUUAGAUUUAUGCAUUGCAUUCACUUAGUUUGCAAUUCGAAGACCGAAUUAGCCUUCGCUUAGUUGGGUGAUUCGUCUCAGAUUUGGAUUAGAAUAGUGUGUACUUGUCNUUUGUCNGUGAUUGCAAGCAUAGUAAUUGAGUUAAUGACCAACCGUUUUUAUUCUGUAGUUGAUCCCAUUUUUACAAUUCUGUUUCCAUUUCUGUUUACAUCUGUGUUUACAUUUCUCGCAUUCACAAACCUUUCACAAACCACCCCC